UGCACUGUGAGUGGCUGAGUCUGUGCCUCAAUGCUGCAGAACAAUACUGGGAAUGAUGCCAGCACACCUGCACUAGAAAUCAAGUUUGUCAUGAAAGGACUGCUUAUCCUUCUUGUAAAAGUAAUCAUGGCCAGUAUGAACAUAAGGUUAGGAUAAUUUUCAACUAUGGAGAACUUCUUCAGAUCAAUUUUAGGACAACAGUUAAAGAAAUUCUUCCUCCCAGAGUUCACUGUGGAGAAUGGAAGAUAAAAAAUAAAGACAAAAAUGGAGGUGGAAAUAUUUGUAUAUACAAUAUUAAGCUUAAGCAAAUGCAGUGAAAAUUCUUCAUUCUGGUCCUUUGGAAAUAAUUAAUUCUUUCUUGGUGACCAGAAAUAACUUGCAAGAAGGCAUUAACUUACCAGGCCAAGAAUUCAGAAGUCAAAGAAGAAAGCUUAAAAUUGUCCCUCUAGUUGAAGUC